rnacentral:rRNA from 1 species
UAGCUUGCUACUUGACCUAGCGGCGGACGGGUGAGUAAUGCUUAGGAAUCUGCCUAUUAGUGGGGGACAACAUCUCGAAAGGGAUGCUAAUACCGCAUACGUCCUACGGGAGAAAGCAGGGGACCUUCGGGCCUUGCGCUAAUAGAUGAGCCUAAGUCGGAUUAGCUAGUUGGUGGGGUAAAGGCCUACCAAGGCGACGAUCUGUAGCGGGUCUGAGAGGAUGAUCCGCCACACUGGGACUGAGACACGGCCCAGACUCCUACGGGAGGCAGCAGUGGGGAAUAUUGGACAAUGGGGGGAACCCUGAUCCAGCCAUGCCGCGUGUGUGAAGAAGGCCUUUUGGUUGUAAAGCACUUUAAGCGAGGAGGAGGCUACCGAGAUUAAUACUCUUGGAUAGUGGACGUUACUCGCAGAAUAAGCACCGGCUAACUCUGUGCCAGCAGCCGCGGUAAUACAGAGGGUGCAAGCGUUAAUCGGAUUUACUGGGCGUAAAGCGCGCGUAGGUGGCCAAUUAAGU